AUCAUGUCCCAAAUAAAACAAUUUGGGAUUCACAGCAAAAAUAAUGGUCAUUACAGAAGAGAGACACUGUGAUGUGCAGUUUAACCCGUAACCUGUGGACACCCACCCAUCGAGCAGCAGAGUUCCCACUAAGUGAUUAAUAAUUUACAGACGUGACAAGUUC